GAUGAAGAACGUAGCGAAAUGCGAUAAGUAAUGUGAAUUGCAGAAUUCAGUGAAUCAUCGAAUCUUUGAACGCACAUUGCGCCCGCCAGUAUUCUGGCGAGCAUGCCUGUUCGAGCGUCAUUUCAACCAUCAAGCCCCAGGCUUGUGUUGGAGCCCUGCGGCUGCCGCAGCCUCCCAAAACCAGUGGCGGGCUCGCUAUCACACCGAGUGCAGUAGUUUACUCUUCGCUCAGGGCGUGUGGCGGGUGCUAGCCGUGAAACCCCCAACUUCUCAAGGUUGACCUCGGAUCAGGUAGGAAUACCCGCUGAACUUAAGCAUAUCAAUAAGCAGGA
rnacentral:misc_RNA from 1 species